GGAACAGCUCUGACCUGUAUGGUGAUCAGACCCGGAGAGGAGCGACACCUGGUCCAACAAGGUGACGGACGAGCCGCCACAGGAUCUGAAGCAGGAAAACUGAGGAUCCGUCUUCUGAUGAAACUCCUUCAGGUGCUGCAGUUGUUUGGUGACUCUGGUUUCAGCUCAGACAGUGAGCACUGUGUUGUCUUUGCUGGUUAUUUACAUAAUAAAACCUUUUUUUGAAUUACA